UACAGAGGGUGCAAGCGUUGUUCGGAAUCAUUGGGCGUAAAGGGCGUGUAGGCGGUCUGUUAAGUCAUGUGUGAAAUCCCUCGGCUUAACCGGGGAACUGCGUCUGAUACUGGAUGGCUUGAGGUUGGGAGAGGGAUGCGGAAUUCCAGGUGUAGCGGUGAAAUGCGUAGAUAUCUGGAGGAACACCGGUGGCGAAGGCGGCAUCCUGGACCAAUUCUGACACUGAGGAGCGAAGGCCAGGGGAGCAAACGGG
rnacentral:rRNA from 1 species